rnacentral:rRNA from 1 species
CGGCACGCCUAACACAUGCAAGUCGAACGGAGAUAUUUGGUUUACUGAGAUAUCUUAGUGGCGGACGGGUGAGUAACACGUGAGCAACCUGCCUUUGAGAGAGGGAUAGCUUCUGGAAACGGAUGGUAAUACCUCAUAACAUAAUUGGGAGGCAUCUUCUGAUUAUCAAAGAUUUAUCACUCAAAGAUGGGCUCGCGUCUGAUUAGAUAGUUGGUGAGGUAACGGCUCACCAAGUCGACGAUCAGUAGCCGGACUGAGAGGCUGAACGGCCACAUUGGGACUGAGACACGGCCCAGACUCCUACGGGAGGCAGCAGUGGGGAAUAUUGCACAAUGGGGGAAACCCUGAUGCAGCGAUGCCGCGUGGAGGAAGAAGGUUUUCGGAUUGUAAACUCCUGUCUUAAAGGACGAUAAUGACGGUACUUUAGGAGGAAGCUCCGGCUAACUACGUGCCAGCCGCCGC